rnacentral:rRNA from 1 species
AGAGUUUGAUCAUGGCUCAGAUUGAACGCUGGCGGCAGGCCUAACACAUGCAAGUCGAGCGGUAGCACAGGAGAGCUUGCUCUUUGGGUGACGAGCGGCGGACGGGUGAGUAAUGUCUGGGAAACUGCCUGAUGGAGGGGGAUAACUACUGGAAACGGUAGCUAAUACCGCAUAACCUCGCAAGAGCAAAGAGGGGGACCUUCGGGCCUCUCGCCAUCAGAUGUGCCCAGAUGGGAUUAGCUAGUAGGUGAGGUAAUGGCUCACCUAGGCGACGAUCCCUAGCUGGUCUGAGAGGAUGACCAGCCACACUGGAACUGAGACACGGUCCAGACUCCUACGGGAGGCAGCAGUGGGGAAUAUUGCACAAUGGGCGCAAGCCUGAUGCAGCCAUGCCGCGUGUGUGAAGAAGGCCUUCGGGUUGUAAAGCACUUUCAGCGAGGAGGAAGGCGAUAAGGUUAAUAACCUUAUCGAUUGACGUUACUCGCAGAAGAAGCACCGGCUAACUCCGUGCCAGCAGCCGCGGUAAUACGGAGGGUGCAAGCGUUAAUCGGAAUGACUGGGCGUAAAGCGCACGCAGGCGGUCUGUUAAGUUGGAUGUGAAAUCCCCGGGCUUAACCUGGGAACUGCAUUCAAAACUGACAGGCUAGAGUCUUGUAGAGGGGGGUAGAAUUCCAGGUGUAGCGGUGAAAUGCGUAGAGAUCUGGAGGAAUACCGGUGGCGAAGGCGGCCCCCUGGACAAAGACUGACGCUCAGGUGCGAAAGCGUGGGGAGCAAACAGGAUUAGAUACCCUGGUAGUCCACGCUGUAAACGAUGUCGAUUUGGAGGUUGUGCCCUUGAGGCGUGGCUUCCGGAGCUAACGCGUUAAAUCGACCGCCUGGGGAGUACGGCCGCAAGGUUAAAACUCAAAUGAAUUGACGGGGGCCCGCACAAGCGGUGGAGCAUGUGGUUUAAUUCGAUGCAACGCGAAGAACCUUACCUACUCUUGACAUCCAGAGAAUUAGCUAGAGAUAGCUGAGUGCCUUCGGGAACUCUGAGACAGGUGCUGCAUGGCUGUCGUCAGCUCGUGUUGUGAAAUGUUGGGUUAAGUCCCGCAACGAGCGCAACCCUUAUCCUUUGUUGCCAGCGAUUCGGUCGGGAACUCAAAGGAGACUGCCGGUGAUAAACCGGAGGAAGGUGGGGAUGACGUCAAGUCAUCAUGGCCCUUACGAGUAGGGCUACACACGUGCUACAAUGGCGUAUACAAAGAGAAGCGACCUCGCGAGAGUAAGCGGACCUCAUAAAGUACGUCGUAGUCCGGAUUGGAGUCUGCAACUCGACUCCAUGAAGUCGGAAUCGCUAGUAAUCGUAGAUCAGAAUGCUACGGUGAAUACGUUCCCGGGCCUUGUACACACCGCCCGUCACACCAUGGGAGUGGGUUGCAAAAGAAGUAGGUAGCUUAACCUUCGGGAGGGCGCUUACCACUUUGUGAUUCAUGACUGGGGUGAAGUCGUAACAAGGUAACCGUAGGGGAACCUGCGGUUGGAUCACCU